AUAUUGUGCAUUUGUCUCCUUUGUCUCAAUUCGUCUUUCACGUGUGAGAAUUACAUUACAAUCUCCAACUUCUUUGUGAGAAUUUUCGUUCGACGGGCGAUCACGUCCCGUAAGUGGACGUGAUCGCCCGUUACCGUAAUAAGAAACUGAAAAGUGCCAAUAAUCGUGGUUUAUUUGCUUUGAAAUUAAUCUUUCGAAUAUGUUGGUUGAGCCUAAAUUGACGAACACGUCACCGAACUUCGGCAAAUCAUCCGACAAAACGAGGAAAUAUUGUAACUUGUAGCAGAGUAGUCAGUGAAUCAGAAAUUCUUACUGAUUCCAAGCAAAACAACUCCAAGCAAAUGUAUAAUGCGAGUGCUUUUGUAUUACGAACAAGAACCCUCCAAUAUCCGCAUUAUCAAUCUUCAUCGUCUGUACUGAGUGCCUAUCCGUCUUUCAAUCUCUCUCUAUUGUGCACCCAUCAAUGGUCCACCAUCAGGAUUGAUACAGCAACCUCCCAUACUUUUUUAAAGAUAUGUGAGUAGCGACAAUGUAGCUUUGAAUAGCUAUAUAACGACCUUACUAGAGUGCUGUCACCAAAUGUAAUUUGGCCGAUUCGGCCAAGCUGUCAACCAUAUGGCUAUAUAUGGGAAGAAUAAUAUAAAAUCUUAAGUAAACAAGCUCACAUUCCGCAGGCUUGGGAUAAUGUUGCUGUUGUCACAACUGCUCAUACUUCUGAAGGUCUUUGGUGCAUCUUAAUAAUUGUAUCGGACAUAAUGCAAAUAAUGAUCUUGGAGCUGAAUAAAAACGCUGGACAGGUAGAAAAGUAAUGUGGUUAGCAAUGCAAGAUAUUCCAGUCCAUCUUUCUUGCAUGAAAAAUGCUGAAAUUACUCCUGACGGCGAUGUGCAAAGUUGUCCUGUAAAUAUAAUUAAUGCAGUAACUCCUAUACCAACCAUGUAUAACAUGAGCUCCCAUUCAGCAAAACUUUAUGAUAGAGGAUGAAACCGUUGUGCAUAAUAUUCUUUAUAUGAGUGAUGAGAUAUUAGAUCAAAAUGGCA